rnacentral:rRNA from 1 species
UACGGGGGGGGCAAGCGUUGUUCGGAAUUACUGGGCGUAAAGGGCUCGUAGGCGGCCAACUAAGUCGGAUGUGAAAUCCCCAGGCUUAACCUGGGAACUGCAUCCGAUACUGGAUGGCUUGAAUUCGGGAGAGGGAUGCAGAAUUCCAGGUGUAGCGGUGAAAUGCGUAGAUAUCUGGAGGAAUACCGGUGGCGAAGGCGGCAUCCUGGACCAACACUGACGCUGAGGAGCGAAAGCCAGGGGAGCAAACGGG